CAAUGUGCGGAUGGAGACUGGUGACAACUGGUGUCCCUCAGGGCUUCUUUCUGGACAAUGAUGCAGUAUCUGAAGCCCUAAGAGCUAUUUGGAAAUGCUGAGGAACAAUUGAGUAAGCUAAGUGAGCGGUGGUGAGGACAAAGUCUCCAUGACCAUAUGAAAAGAAAAGAUGGGAUUUCCUGAGGUAUCAGCACCUGCACUCCUGCACGUUUUGAUUAGUUUGGCAAGAAAACCUCCUCCAUCUGUCAAGUCUGAGGAAGAUGCUUCUGGAUUAAGCAGCACUGCAGACCAUUUGUCAUGAAAGGCAGUUUCAGAAAGAAGUUGAAAACUUAGGGCAUCAGAAGGCACACAGGUCUGGCUAUGAGAGAAAGACAGUGAGCAAAUAGAUGUCUCUACCAGAAAAGAGGUGUUUACUCUACGCUGUACACAAAGAUAAGAUCCAUCUAGUAAAUAAAGCAAAACCAUGACCCCUCAUUGUGAUAUUUUGAUCAAGGAUAGUUUAGGGAAAUUAUUUCCUGAUCAUAUAUCAAGCAAACUCCACCUUACUUGAUCCAGAUCCAAGCGUGGUUCUAGUACACCGUUACUGAAAAUAUUCCCAUUAGUAGAGCAGGCUCAACAACGUGUAUCCAGAUGUGUAAUUAGUAGCAAUAAGACAUU